rnacentral:rRNA from 1 species
CCUACGGGUGGCAGCAGUGGGGAAUAUUGCACAAUGGGCGCAAGCCUGAUGCAGCCAUGCCGCGUGUGUGAAGAAGGCCUUCGGGUUGUAAAGCACUUUCAGCGGGGAGGAAGGCGUUAAGGUUAAUAACCUUGUCGAUUGACGUUACCCGCAGAAGAAGCACCGGCUAACUCCGUGCCAGCAGCCGCGGUAAUACGGAGGGUGCAAGCGUUAAUCGGAAUUACUGGGCGUAAAGCGCACGCAGGCGGUCUGUCAAGUCGGAUGUGAAAUCCCCGGGCUCAACCAGGGAACUGCAUUCGAAACUGGCAGGCUAGAGUCUUGUAGAGGGGGGUAGAAUUCCAGGUGUAGCGGUGAAAUGCGUAGAGAUCUGGAGGAAUACCGGUGGCGAAGGCGGCCCCCUGGACAAAGACUGACGCUCAGGUGCGAAAGCGUGGGGAGCAAACAGGAUUAGAUACCCUAGUAGUC